AACGAGGCCGACCUGCGGCUGAGUUACCUGCGGAGGGAUCAUUACCGAGUUUACAACUCCCAAACCCCUGUGAACAUACCUAUAUGUUGCCUCGGCGGAUCAGCCCGCGCCCCGUAAAACGGGACGGCCCGCCGCAGGAUCCACAAACUCUGUUUUUAUUGUAACUUCUGAGUAACAAAACAAAUAAAUCAAAACUUUCAACAAUGGAUCU
rnacentral:misc_RNA from 1 species